rnacentral:tRNA from 1 species
AGGAGUGUAGCUCAGUGGUAGAGCACUGUGCCUAAUGUGCACAGGCCCUGGGUUCCAUCCCCAGCAUAGCAA